rnacentral:rRNA from 1 species
UAGGGAAUCUUCCACAAUGGGCGAGAGCCUGAUGGAGCAACGCCGCGUGUGUGAUGAAGGGUUUCGGCUCGUAAAACACUGUUGUAAGAGAAGAAUGACAUUGAGAGUAACUGUUCAAUGUGUGACGGUAUCUUACCAGAAAGGAACGGCUAAAUACGUGCCAG